UAUUUUUUUUUUAGGUUUUGCCCAUGUUACUCUUUCCGGCCCCCAAAUGCCCAUUUUUCAUUUUUUCAGACUCUCGAUGAGAUCUCUCCCUCAAUUCGAUCCUCAUAUCACACAUUCACUCUUCGAUUUCAUUCAUUCACACCCAUUCACUCUCAUCUCGCUAUAGGUCUCAAAAAUUUCUUCAAUUUUGUUCACACCCAAGGUUAGAAAAAUUCCUCCCUUGGUUUUCGUUCAAACUAAAGUCUCCAGCCUCUCUUGCUUUCGUUAUAAUCUCGCUUGCUGGUUUUCAUUCGCGUUGAAGCCUUCCCCUCAUGAUUUGAGGUUCUAGAAAAGGAAUUGAAUUUUGAUCCUCCUUUGUUGGCCAAUAAGUGGCUUGGGCUAAUAAUUAGGGGAUGCAAUCUCCUGGUUCUUUAGCCUUUUGGGGCAUAUUAGUGAUUUAUGUGGAAAGGGGAUGAAUUCUGGUAUGAUAAUAGACCAAUUCAAUCAAGGGAUGAGAAUCGAAUAAAGGGUAAAUUAAUUCUUCUUUCUUAGCUCCCAGCAGGGGAUAAGAGAGGGGAAUAAGCAAGCCUUCAGUUGAAUACUGGUCUUUUUCAUGAGAGGAAAAGCCCCAGCCAAGUCACGUCACAGAGGAUCGGAGGAAGUAGGUGCCUUACCUAAAUUUGAAUCUGACAUUUGAGAGGCUUGACGAGUAUCAGUCCCUGUUCUCGCUGAGUCGGUUGUUCAUGAAUCAAGCAUAAUGGCAUGCUUCACUCUUACUCUUGGUUGUUUUUCCAUAUCUAUUGAUUCAUAUAAGUGUUGAUUUGUGCGUUUUACUCUUCCUUUCAUCAUUUCUGAUGGUGUCUCUAAAAUCCAACACUUGUUUUCAUAUCUCUGAAAGUUUGAGCAUAUCGAUUCAAGCAUAUGAAGCUCAAACAUUCUGAUUGUUAGUUCCAGUACCAAUCUAUCUUGCCAUUGCUAUUAUGUUUUUUAUGUACUAGUUUGCCAGAUCUGAACGUGUCAUGUGCUGAAGACCGAAGUGCAACAACAUACAUUUUUCUUCUUCCAUUUCGUUCAUUUUCAUUUUAACUCGAGUGUGUUAUCAAAUAGGGUGUCUCAUCAUAUUUUCUCCAUUUGUCUUUUCAUAAAAUACAAUCGUCAUAAGAGUUGAAAAUCUUGUGAUAAGAGAUAACAAUGGGUGAUUUCUUAUUUUGUUACUUGUGUAUGUCAAAGUAUGUAUAAAUUGGACAUGUUAGAUAUCAUACUAUUUAAUGAUAUGGUGACAUGUGGUAUUCAUGAUUGAA